GAGAAUGUGAGACUUCUGAAGAGUUUUUUGCUUCUUUCCUGUGGGGCACGAUUCCACUUCCUAGCAGUAAUGGAAAAUCCUGAAUUAGCUACAGUAAUGUUAGAACCAUUUGGACCUCACCAAGGACUUCAACUAUAUCAUGCUAAAGUUACAGAAUCCAAAUUUGGCAACUGCCUGCAUCUGACCAACAGAAGUUUCUACAUUCUGCCAACAGAGUAACCCCUGGAAGACUGGCACAGAAGAAGGCACAAGGCAAAUACCCAUCUCUGUACACCCCAUGCUACUGUGUCAUAUGCUGCUCCAGGCAACUCCAAUGGAUUGGCCACCCUGGCCAAUGUGUUCUAGUAUGUUAGGUUUAUGUUCCCCUGCUUUCUACAAUCCUGUUCAAAGAGUUGCUGACUUAACCACAGAGAGAAUUCCAGAACAUGAGACACAGAAUAAACUUGAGCAAUCAUAGUCCAUCCACUUCACUUUCUCAUCGAAAACCAAAGGUCCAGUAAAGCUCUGGAACUCAACACUGUAAAGGAGCAAAGGAGAAUCUGUACAGAGCCUGGGUCCCUGUCUCCUUAUCCUACUUCAGCGGACUUGACUGCAAUCUGGAUUAUGCUGUUUCCUAAGCAUUUAAAAUAAAAUAAAAAGUGUAA